rnacentral:rRNA from 1 species
UACGAAGGGGGCUAGCGUUGCUCGGAAUCACUGGGCGUAAAGGGUGCGUAGGCGGGUCUUUAAGUCAGAGGUGAAAUCCUGGAGCUCAACUCCAGAACUGCCUCCGAUACUGGAGAGCUCGAGUCCGGGAGAGGUGGAGUGGAACUGCGAGUGUAGAGGUGAAAUUCGUAAGAUAUUGCAAGAACACCAGUGGCGAAGGCGACUCGC